rnacentral:rRNA from 1 species
GAUGAACGCUGGCGGCGUGCCUAAUACAUGCAAGUCGAGCGAACAGAUGAGGAGCUUGCUCCUCUGACGUUAGCGGCGGACGGGUGAGUAACACGUGGAUAACCUACCUAUAAGACUGGGAUAACUUCGGGAAACCGGAGCUAAUACCGGAUAAUAUAUUGAACCGCAUGGUUCACUAGUGAAAGACGGUUUUGCUGUCACUUAUAGAUGGAUCCGCGCCGCAUUAGCUAGUUGGUAAGGUAACGGCUUCCAAGGCAACGAUGCGUAGCCGACCUGAGAGGGUGAUCGGCCACACUGGAACUGAGACACGGUCCAGACUCCUACGGGAGGCAGCAGUAGGGAAUCUUCCGCAAUGGGCGAAAGCCUGACGGAGCAACGCCGCGUGAGUGAUGAAGGUCUUCGGAUCGUAAAACUCUGUUAUUAGGGAAGAACAAAUGUGUAAGUAACUAUGCACGUCUUGACGGUACCUAAUCAGAAAGCCACGGCUAACUACGUG